rnacentral:rRNA from 1 species
AGGGUUCGAUUCUGGCUCAGGAUGAACGCUGGCGGCGUGCCUAAUACAUGCAAGUCGAGCGAGAAAUGUCCGAUUGAGACUUCGGUGGAUUUCGGACAUGGAAAGCGGCGGACGGGUGAGUAACGCGUAGGCAACCUGCCCUUUGCACAGGGAUAGCCACUGGAAACGGUGAUUAAUACCUGAUAAUGCAUCUUCAUCGCCUGUUGGAGAUGCCAAAGAUUUAUUGGCAAAGGAUGGGCCUGCGUCUGAUUAGCUUGUUGGUGGGGUAACGGCUCACCAAGGCGACGAUCAGUAGCCGACCUGAGAGGGUGAUCGGCCACAUUGGAACUGAGACACGGUCCAAACUCCUACGGGAGGCAGCAGUAGGGAAUCUUGCACAAUGGGCGAAAGCCUGAUGCAGCAACGCCGCGUGAGCGAUGAAGGCCCUUGGGUCGUAAAGCUCUGUCCUAUGGGAAGAAAAAAUGACGGUACCAUUGGAGGAAGCCCCGGCUAACUACGUGCCAGCCGCGGC